rnacentral:rRNA from 1 species
ACUCCUACGGGAGGCAGCAGUGGGGAAUCUUAGACAAUGGGGAAAGCCCAUCGAUCUAGCCAUGCCGCGUGAGCGAUGAAGGCCUUAGGGUUGUAAAGCUCUUUCAGCUGGGAAGAUAAUGACGGUGACCAGCAGAAGAAGGCCCCGGCUAACUCCGUGCCAGCAGCCGCGGUAAUACGGAGGGGCUAGCGUUGUUCGGAAUUACUGGGCGUAAAGCGCACGUAGGCGGAUUGGUAAGUUGGGGGUGAAAUCCCGGGGCUCAACCCCGGAACUGCCUCCAAAACUCCCAGUCUUGAGG